CAGUAGCCGCGGUAAUACGUAGGUGGCAAGCGUUGUCCGGAAUUAUUGGGCGUAAAGCGCACGCAGGCGGUUGCCCAAGUCAGAUGUGAAAGCCCCGGGCUUAACCUGGGAACUGCAUUUGAAACUGGGCGACUAGAGUAUGAAAGAGGUGAGUGGAAUUCCGAGUGUAGAGGUGAAAUUCGUAGAUAUUCGGAGGAACACCAGUGGCGAAGGCGGCCCACUGGUCCAUUACUGACGCUGAGGUGCGAAAGCGUGGGGAGUAAACAGGAUUAGAUACCCGAGUAGUCCCUGUCUCUUAUAC
rnacentral:rRNA from 1 species